rnacentral:rRNA from 1 species
AACGAACGCUGGCGGCAGGCUUAACACAUGCAAGUCGAACGAGCUGGGGGCUUCGGUCCCCGAUGCUAGUGGCGCACGGGUGAGUAACACGUGGGAAUAUGCCCUUUAGUACGGAAUAACCAAGGAAAACUUUGGCUAAUGCCGUAUACGCCCUUCGGGGGAAAGAUUUAUCGCUAAAGGAUUAGCCCGCGUCUGAUUAGGUAGUUGGCGAUGUCAUGUCUGACCAAGCCGACGAUCAGUAGCUGGUCUGAGAGGAUGGUCAGCCACACUGGGAGUGAGCAACGGCGCAGACUCUUACAGGAGGCAGCAGAGGGGAAUAUUGGCAAAUGGGGGCGACCCUGAUCCAGCCAUGCCGCGUGAGUGAAGAAGGCCUUAGGGUUGUAAAGCUCUUUCGAAGGGGACGAUGAUGACGGUACCCGUAGAAGAAGCACCGGCAAACUUCGUG